rnacentral:rRNA from 1 species
CAGCACCUCAAGUGGUCAGGAUGAUUAUUGGGCCUGAAGCAUCCGUAGCCGGCGCUGUAAGUUUUCGGUUAAAUCUGUACGCUCAACGUACAGGCUGCCGGGAAUACUGCAGCGCUAGGGAGUGGGAGAGGUAGACGGUACUCGGUAGGAAGGGGUAAAAUCCUUUGAUCUAUUGAUGACCACCUGUGGCGAAGGCGGUCUACCAGAACACGUCCGACGGUGAGGGAUGAAAGCUGGGGGAGCAAACCGGAUUAGAUACCCGAGUAGUCC